AAUGAAACUAUCUUUCCCUUGUUGAAACGGAAUUGUUUGUCGCUAGGCAUUAAAAAAAAAAGGCAUCCAAUAUUUUCACUUUGUCAUAAGACCCUCCCUCACAGUAACGAGCCCCUUUCCUUCUUCGUGAGUAAUGAUCCCCUUUCCUUCUUCUUCUUCUUCUUCUUCUCCUCCUCCUCUAAUCUUCCAUUAAUCUUCCCAGAUGCGCUACUAAGUCAUCUCUUUUCUAAAAAAAUGGCUAUUGAAAAGGGCCGAGAUCCAACACCAAGUGAGCUACACUUGCACAUCCAUACACAUGGUCAUGAUGAAUAAUCUUUUGUUAGUGAGCGAUUCCGACUUGUACAUGAAAAAUAUCAGCAAAUAUUACAGCAACAAACACAAACUUAAUCUGAUAUUGAUUAAUCUUUAGCAUUUUAUCAAGCCGCGGGAGGGGAAAAGAAGAGAAGAAUAUAUGGUCUUGGAUCUCAAGCAAAAUAUUUCUAUGGGCCGAAUCUUCGUGCCUCUUCUGGAUCUGAUGCUUCUUCAUCAGCAGCACCUCCGAAUGCUCAGUCAACACCGAUGGAGAAUUUGGAUGAGUUAGUGAUGCGAUUGAUUCCUGCAUUGACUGAUCAUAUGGUUCCUGUACUGACUGAUCACAUGCUUCCUGUGUUGGCUGAGCGAGUAAGAGGAUUGAUAGCUUCACCAUUACAUGGGCAAGAUAAUCAUACCGAUCACCCAUCAGCUAUGGCACCUCCAGCUCCUCCUCCUACUACUAAUAUUAACGAGGUUCAUGCAUCGCUUUCUGAUGAUGACCUUCACUCUCCAGUCUCUCAGUAGUUAACUAUUUUUAUUUGAACUUUAUUUUGGUAUUAUAGAUGUUUUGGUAUUAACGGGGUUCAUGCAUCGCUUUCUGAUGACGACCUUCACUCUCCAGUCUCUCAGUAAUUAACUAUUUUUGUUUGAACUUUAUUUUAGUAUUGUAAAUAUUUUAAUCUUAAUUAUACAUUUGCAUUUUGGUAUCUA